UUCCUACGGGGGGCAGCAGUGAGGAAUAUUGGUCAAUGGGCGAGAGCCUGAACCAGCCAAGUCGCGUGAGGGAGUACUGCCCUAUGGGUUGUAAACCUCUUUUGUCGGGGAGCAAAAGCCGGACGUGUCCGGCUGUGAGAGUACCCGAAGAAAAAGCAUCGGCUAACUCCGUGCCAGCAGCCGCGGUAAUACGGAGGAUGCGAGCGUUAUCCGGAUUUAUUGGGUUUAAAGGGUGCGCAGGCGGGAGAUCAAGUCAGCGGUAAAAUGUCGGGGCUCAACCCCGGCCGGCCGUUGGA
rnacentral:rRNA from 1 species